rnacentral:rRNA from 1 species
GAUGAACGCUGGCGGCGUGCUUAACACAUGCAAGUCGAACGGGAAACCUUUUAAUGAAGCUUCGGCAGAUUUAGCUGGUUUCUAGUGGCGGACGGGUGAGUAACGCGUGGGUAACCUGCCUUAUACAGGGGGAUAACAGUCAGACAUGACUGCUAAUACCGCAUAAGCGCACAGGACCGCAUGGUCCGGUGUGAAAAACUCCGGUGGUAUAAGAUGGACCCGCGUUGGAUUAGCUUGUUGGUGGGGUAACGGCACACCAAGGCGACGAUCCAUAGCCGGCCUGAGAGGGUGAACGGCCACAUUGGGACUGAGACACGGCCCAGACUCCUACGGGAGGCAGCAGUGGGGAAUAUUGCACAAUGGGGGAAACCCUGAUGCAGCGACGCCGCGUGAAGGAAGAAGUAUCUCGGUAUGUAAACUUCUAUCAGCAGGGAAGAUAGUGACGGUACCUGACUAAGAAGCCCCGGCUAACUACGUG